rnacentral:lncRNA from 1 species
CUCAUUGAAUAUAUAACCCUAAUCACAGUUUCCUCUCAUCUCUUCAUCUUCAUCACGACUGAAUCCUCCAUAACCCUAAUAUCCCUGUAAAGACUGCACACCAAUUCAUCACAACUCCGUCCACUGCCAUACACCUCCGUCCACCGCCAUGAGUUUUAUCAAUUGUGUACUUCGAUCACGAUUCAGUUCUGGUGAUCUACGCAGCCACCAUCACACUUUGCCGUAAACCUUUGUUCGAUGGAGCUUUCGGUCGUACCGUAACUACCAUUGCGCCAUCAGGUGUGCUCUGUGCUGAUAAACAUAACGCCACAUGAAAUUAGUUUGAAUUCUGUGAUAUUCAACACACCUAGCAAGAAUUUCAACGACUUAAAGCUCUAAAUUGAUUCACUAAGAAUGGCACUGAAGAGUUCAUUGAUGAUCGUGAAUUAGCUCAACAGAAAGCUGAAGCAGCAGGUGCGUUUUUAUUAUAUAUACAUAUAGAUUUUUCCACUUUUCAACUAUUAUAUAAAAGAAAAAUUUUGUAUUGAUUUCCCUCCCUUGUUUUGUAACCUUUGUUGUGACGAUUGAUGCCUAUUACUGUGGUUUAAUUUUGAAAAAUAAUAGUUAUAACAAAGAUACAUUAGAUUUGGUGUGUGAGUGUGAGGAUCUGUUAUUAAAGGAGUUUGGAUUGUUGAAGAAGAACCCUUGAUAUAACAUCCAGUGGGCGGUGGUCAAGCCUAUCCGUGAGCCACAUGUAGCUGUCCAGAAAGUUGUUUAGGGUAAUCCUAAUCCUAGGGGAUAAUUUACGAAGUAUUAUGUUCAGCCAUAUAUUGAGCAGUCUGUUGUUGGUGGUUCUAUGGCUGGAAAUGGAGCUUUUGAUGCAAUUGUUAGGCUGGCGAACAAUACAUACGCUUGGAUAAGAAGAGUUUGUACAAGUAUCACACACACUUCACUACAGAAACAAGUGUCUUGAUGUUACCAUUUGUAAAAACUUGGAUGGUUGAAUUUUCCAUCAUCCUUAAAAAUCCUGUACGAUCUGAAGAUCCAGAUGAUUGGAGCAUUAGAAUGGAGGUAUUUUUUUAAACAUUGUGCACCUAAGCUUCAAGAGGCCUGUGACUUUGAUUCGCUCUUCCACGCUGCACUAACGACGGUUCUAGGUCUUGAAACUGAAAUCAGAAUGUUGAAAUCGCUAAUCUUCAGUCACUGGCUAGGCUUCGAUGGGUGAGGUUGUGAUUCACUCGGAUUAAAAUGCAGAUUGGAGCAUGGCACCUGACCAGAGUGUCGUUUAGUGUUGCUAGGACUGGUGAAAACGCGAUACCAUCACCAGCAGAUUUACCCAGCCUCUCCGAAGCCGGAAAGCUUACAUCCGAACGUGUCUGCGGCUGUAAAUGGUGUCACUCUUGUUGGAACCCUAUCCGACCAAUUGUUCUUCGGGUGGCUCGGUGAUAAACUGGGUUCGGGAUAGGUGGCGACUACCCCGCUUUCUGCCACCAUCAUGACCGCAAAUUCGAUGAAGAUACUCAACCUGCAGGUUGGAAGGCUUUUGGAGUUUUGGGUCCUGGUUUUGGUGAUUUGCCUUCACGAAGAGUUUUUGCAGUUGGUUCACAUUUGUAAUUGGACAAUAAAACAUAUGCUUGGUGCAGUCUGGUUUAGGACUGAAUGGAUUCAGGCUCUUAUCCUGAAAUACAAUGAUUUCAAGCAGCCGGGAGAGAGGUACCAAUCAUGGGCCCAGACAUGUACAACAACUGUUUCACUUUCAAUUGUGGUUACCCACGAGCUCCGGAUCAUCUGGAUCUCAUACUGGUUUCAGACCCACACCCAUUAAAUAUUUAACCAUGCCUGAAGGAAAUAUCGCGUUUUUUUAAUUUUGGAAUCGCGAGUGAGACACCUGAAGAAGCAAGAUUUACAAUAAUUAGCCAUGUGGUUUACAUGGUGAUCAAUUGGGAUUACGAAGCAAUGGGCCGUGAGUUUUCCAAAACGUUUGAGGACUAGAUGAUGACAUCCUCGAUGAGUAUUGCAAGAUUGAGUUAGCAGGACUGCAAUUCUAAACACCCAGUUUCUGAGAUCAUGGAUGUUGCUGAAAGUUGCUCCUUAAAUAUAAUCUUGUAAGCUUAAGUCUGAAAGUGUGCAAACUCUCCAUCAUCAUUAGUUUCUGUUUGCAAGAAUGAUAACGCAAAUGCAGCUUUGUGGAUUUGAGAAGCUAAUAGUUAUUCAUCUUGAGCCAUUCCAUUCGACUUUGAGAGAGACUUGAUAUCUCGCUGAAGAGGCAGCAGUUGCUAAAAUACUACCAGGUGACCCCAUUUGUAUGCUCUGCCAAAAAAGGUCACAAAGAUGUGGUGAUGUUACUGGUUGAGUUUGCUCCUGAUCUGGAACACACGAGUGAUUGAGAGUCGGAUUUCGCUGCAUAUGGCAGUGGUUGGCGGCAACAAAGAUGUGGUGGAGGUGCUGAACAUAGACGAGCAAACUUGAAUUCAACUUACUUCUUGAUAGGUACAUUGGCAACAACUGUUCUCUAAAACGCUGCCUAUUUGUUCUAUCAUUGAGAAUAAGCAGAAUUACAUGAGCACUUUAGAAGUUUAGGACAUGAGCACUUAAUAGUUGGCCAAAAUCUUAUGGAUAAUCAGCUUUUUAUGUUGAGGUUUUUGUAAACCUACUGUUGUAAUCCGUGUGAAUAUAAAACUGAAAUCAAAAAAUAUCCCUUUUAUGUUCAUAUUGUAAAACUAUAUUUACAAAAGCUAUCAUAAUUUUAGAACAAAUAAUUAUGUGAGAACAAAUGCCAAUUAUUUAUUAUAUAUUUGUUACGAUGAUGGAAUUAUAUGGGUUUACUUGUUUUUUCAAACCGAGCCGAUACCAUUUAUUUUGAGUAAUCGGUUACGAAUGCUAUAGAGCGUGCCAGUACCAUAACGAAUUGAUACCGAUCAAAUUCCUGAAUAACUAACCCACAAGACAUGUCAUAACUAACCCAACGUGAAACCCCUAAUUCUUUUAAGUGAUUCAUAACCUAACAUAAAACUAAUGGAAAUUAUUUAUUCCGCUGCAACGCGCGGGUUCCCCACUAGUUUUAUGUUAAGUUAGGUUGUUAUAAUUAUCUUACCCUCAAAGGGGCCAUUUAAGUGUAAAAAUGCCCCUUAAUUUUUCGUAACAAUUUUUUUUAAUGUUUUUUGUAUUACGCUACUCCUAAGUAACAAUUUUUUUAAUGUUUUUUGUAUUACGCUACUCCUAAAAAAUAUUGUGUUACCCCUUCUCAUAUGGAAUAGUUAAAGCAAAAGAGAGAGAUCGGUUUUAAAUUUAUCAUGUAGAGUUUUUUUCCGGUCGGCUUAAGGAGGUUUGCAACUGCCUGGGUAGAAGAAGUGAAGCACUCUCUCGUAAUCCGAUGCAUAAAAGACAAGAUUUAAUAUUUUGAAUCUAUUAAGUUUUUUCUUUUUAAAUUUUAUUUACCGUAUACCAAUUUAAUUCAACAAUUGUGAUUAGUUUUGGACUUUUAGGGUUGUUUGGUUCGCAUAAUGAUUUGG